rnacentral:tRNA from 4 species
GCGGGGAUGCCCGAGCUGGUCCAAGGGGGCGGACUCAAGAUCCGCUGGCGCAGGCCAUCCGGGGUUCAAAUCCCCGUCCCCGCA